rnacentral:rRNA from 1 species
UACAGAGGGUGCAAGCGUUAAUCGGAAUUACUGGGCGUAAAGCGCACGUAGGCGGCUUUUUAAGUCAGAUGUGAAAGCCCCGGGCUCAACCUGGGAAUUGCAUUUGAAACUGGGGAACUAGAGUGUGUGAGAGGGGGGUAGAAUUCCAAGUGUAGCGGUGAAAUGCGUAGAGAUUUGGAGGAAUACCAGUGGCGAAGGCGGCCCCCUGGCACAACACUGACGCUCAGGUGCGAAAGCGUGGGGAGCAAACAGG